AUGCUAGUUUCUGCGGCACAUGUACUAAAAUUGGAAUGAAACAGAGUAGAUUAACAUGACCCCUGCACAAGGACGAUGCAAAUUCAUGAAGCAUUCCGGAUUUUU